UACGUAGGUGGCAAGCGUUGUCCGGAAUUAUUGGGCGUAAAGCGCGCGCAGGCGGUCUUUUAAGUCUGAUGUGAAAGCCCACGGCUCAACCGUGGAAGGUCAUUGGAAACUGGAAGACUUGAGUGCAGAAGAGAAGAGCGGAAUUCCACGUGUAGCGGUGAAAUGCGUAGAGAUGUGGAGGAACACCAGUGGCGAAGGCGGCUCUUUGGGACGGUACUGACGCUGAGACGCGAAAGCGUGGGGAGCGAACAGG
rnacentral:rRNA from 1 species